rnacentral:rRNA from 1 species
UACGAAGGGGGCCAGCGUUGCUCGGAAUUACUGGGCGUAAAGCGCACGUAGGCGGCUUUCUAAGUCGGGGGUGAAAUCCUGGAGCUCAACUCCAGAACUGCCUUCGAUACUGGAAAGCUCGAGUCCGGGAGAGGUGAGUGGAACUGCGAGUGUAGAGGUGAAAUUCGUAGAUAUUCGCAAGAACACCAGUGGCGAAGGCGGCUCACUGGCCCGGUACUGACGCUGAGGUGCGAAAGCGUGGGGAGCAAACAGG